AUAACAAUACAGGACUCUUUAGAGGCCCUGUAAUUGUAAUAAGUCCACUUGAAAUCCUUUAACUCUGAUCAAUUGGAGGGCAAGUCUGGUGCAGAGCGACUGACCCGUGCGUGCUGCAGCUGAAACUCCACUAUCGCCUGCUGCUGCUCGCCCAGUCUCUCCAG